UCAGGACGAACGCUGGCGGCGUGCCUAAUACAUGCAAGUCGAACGGUCUUUCUAUGGAAGCUUGCUUCCACUGAGAAGAUAGUGGCGAACGGGUGAGUAACACGUGGGUAACCUGCCCAUAAGAGGGGGGAUAACAUCCGGAAACGGGUGCUAAUACCGCAUAGUUUUCUUGAUUGCAUGAUUGAGAAAGGAAAGACGGCCUUUGUGCUGUCGCUUAUGGAUGGACCCGCGGCGUAUUAGUUAGUUGGUGAGGUAACGGCUCACCAAGACGAUGAUACGUAGCCGACCUGAGAGGGUGAUCGGCCACAUUGGGACUGAGACACGGCCCAAACUCCUACGGGAGGCAGCAGUAGGGAAUCUUCCGCAAUGGACGAAAGUCUGACGGAGCAACGCCGCGUGAGUGAAAGAAGGUUUUCGGAUCGUAAAACUCUGUUGUCAGAGAAGAACAAGUUGGAGGGUAACUGCUCCAGCCUUGACGGUAUCUGACCAGAAAGCCACGGCUAACUACGUGCCAGCAGCCGC
rnacentral:rRNA from 1 species